CGACCAGUCUUGAACAUUUAUUAUAUUAAAUCAAUUAUUUAAAUUCAUAUUUUGGGGGCAUCAGAAAAUGGUUUGGGUUCCAGGGCUGAGAAACAAUAUUACAAGAAAGGCUGCUCUGCACUGGCUCCAGUCUGACACCCCAGGACUGGACUGAAGUGCGUGUGUGGGCGAGCGAGAGAGAGAGAGAAAGAGCUGACGAUGGUAGAGGGCUCUGUGGUCGAUGACUGUCAGCCAUCGGCGAUGGACGGUGGCCCUACCCUACUGCCAAUCCAGAGGCACUGCUUCAGACCAAGAAAUGAGUAAGUGUCACCCAGAACAGCAACUCAGCAAUUUUGUCUGAGCUGUCCACCUUGUUGCCUCUUUGUUGUAUAGUUUACCUUUAAGGUUAGCUUUGAUUUUGAGUAUUCUUGAGUAUUGUUACAUUUCAUAGUGUCAACUGUAACCUGUUGCUGUAUUUGGUUUGAGCUUAUGUUGUAACUUGCUGAUUUUGACCACUUUACAAUAACAAAGAACAUCGGUUUUAUGUUGCUUCCCUCAUCUCUAGACCCCUCUGGGACGUAACAAUAGGUCUAACAGAGACUAAAUCCAUCUAAAGAUCCAGACACACACCUUGAUGUUGAAGUGACAGAUACUUAAACAUCAGACACUCAAAAUGACAUCAUCCAACACAUAAUUUUGUAGUGACAUCAUUGUGGGCGGCUGUGAUUUAGAGGUAGAGUGGGUCGUUCACCAAGAGGUCGGCGGUUCGAUCCCGGCUUCCCCCAGCCACAUGUCGAAGUGUCCUUGGGCAAAAUACUGAACCCCAAAUUGCUCCAGAGGGCUGUGCCUUUGGUGUG